UUCGCAAUGCCCGAAAGGGUGACGAAGCGACGCCGCGUGUGGGAAGAAGGCCUUCGGGUUGUAAACCACUGUCGGGAGUUAGGAAAUGUAAGGGUGCUAAUAGUAUCCUUACUUGACUAAGGCUCCGGAGGAAGCCACGGCUAACUCUGUGCCAGCAGCCGCGGUAAUACAGAGGCGGCAAGCGUUGUUCGGAAUUAUUGGGCGUAAAGAGCACGUAGGCGGCUAUGUAAGUCGGUUGUGAAAGCCUUCCGCUCAACGGGAGAACAGCAUCCGAUACUACAUGGCUUGAGUGCGGGAGGGGAGAGUGGAACUUCUGGUGGAGCGGUGAAAUGCGUAGAUAUCAGAAGGAACGCCGGCGGCGAAAGCGGCUCUCUGGCCCAUAACUGACGCUGAGUGUGCGAAAGCUAGGGGAGCAAACGGGAUUAGAUACCCCGGUAGUCCUAGCCGUAAAC
rnacentral:rRNA from 1 species